AAAGAUCGCAGUUUUGUACAGUAUAUGUAUAAUAUUUGGCCGUUCAUCUUAUUUAAUUUUUUUUUAUAAUUAGUAAUUUUAUUGUUAUUAGAUGAUAAGAUAUAAAUAGUAUUUUAUGUAUGACUAAUUUUUUCAAAAAGAAAUAUAUAUAAUUUUUUUGAAUAAGAUGGACGGUCAAACAUUAGACACGAAAACUCACAACUGGAUUUAAA
rfam:Oryza rufipogon genomic scaffold, chr07